rnacentral:piRNA from 1 species
AGUCUAACUCUCUCACAGUCAACGGUACC